UACGGAAGGGCAGCAGUGGGGAAUAUUGCACAAUGGGCGCAAGCCUGAUGCAGCCAUGCCGCGUGUAUGAAGAAGGCCUUCGGGUUGUAAAGUACUUUCAGUCGUGAGGAAGGUGUUAAGGUUAAUAACCUUAGCAAUUGACGUUAGCGACAGAAGAAGCACCGGCUAACUCCGUGCCAGCAGCCGCGGUAAUACGGAGGGUGCGAGCGUUAAUCGGAAUUACUGGGCGUAAAGGGCACGCAGGCGGUUAAUUAAGUUGGAUGUGAAAUCCCCGGGCUUAACCUGGGAAUGGCAUUCAAGACUGGUUAGCUAGAGUCUUGUAGAGGGGGUAGAAUUCCAUGUGUAGCGGUGAAAUGCGUAGAGAUGUGGAGGAAUACCGGUGGCGAAGGCGGCCCCUGGGACAAAGACUGACGCUCAUGUGCGAAAGCGUGGGGAGCAAACAGGAUUAGAUACC
rnacentral:rRNA from 1 species